CUGAGAACACGACGAAUGAAGAACACGCUUCCAGAACACGAAGAAUGAAGAACACGGUUUGGGGUUUCAAAGCGAAGAAGAAGACGAUUUAGGGAUUUGGGUUUCAAAGAGAAGAAUGAAGAAUUUUAUGUGUUUGCUGUGAAGAAGAAUGAAAACGAUUUAGGGAUUUGGGAUUUAGGGAUUUCAAAGAGAAUUAGGGAUUUGAGAUUUAAUAAUCAUAGCAACUAACGAUUUAGGGAUUUAGGG
rnacentral:lncRNA from 1 species